GACGAACGCUGGCGGCGUGCUUAACACAUGCAAGUCGAACGGUGAUGCUCCAGCUUGCUGGCGUGGAUCAGUGGCGAACGGGUGAGUAACACGUGAGCAACCUGCCCCAGACUCUGGAAUAAGCGCUGGAAACGGCGUCUAAUACUGGAUACGAAACUGGCCCGCAUGGGCAUGGUUUGGAAAGUUUUUCGGUUUGGGAUGGGCUCGCGGCCUAUCAGCUUGUUGGUGAGGUAAUGGCUCACCAAGGCGACGACGGGUAGCCGGCCUGAGAGGGCGACCGGCCACACUGGGACUGAGACACGGCCCAGACUCCUACGGGAGGCAGCAGUGGGGAAUAUUGCACAAUGGGCGAAAGCCUGAUGCAGCGACGCCGCGUGAGGGAUGACGGCCUUCGGGUGGUAAACCUCUUUCAGCAGGGAAGAAGCGAAAGUGACGGUACCUGCAGAAGAAGCACCGGCUAACUACGU
rnacentral:rRNA from 1 species